GUCCACUGGGUUCAUUAAUGCAGCACGGCAGCAAUGAGAAGAAGAAGCAGCGAUGGCGGCUGCCCAUGCUAAUCACCUCUUCUAUCCCACCACCGUCCAGCACGUUUGCCUAUAUAUUAUAUAUAUAUGUGUCUCCUCCCUCUCACUAGACGAGGACCCUGAAUAGCUGCCCGCGAACGCCGCCUGAUGGGAAUCAAAGGUGCCAUGGCAAAGGUUUAAAAGGAUAGAAGCCUGCCAUCAUCUCAGCUGAUUAUGCAGCAGUGAUGGAGAGGGAAUGUGGGAAAGAGAGCAGGGGAAUGACACGCAGCAAAGGUCCAGCUGGACAGAAGUCAAACCGAGGACUCAGCUGUUGGGGGAAUUUCAGUCCGUGUGGUUUGAACCCUCACCACUUGGCCAUCAGGUCGCCAACAAAUGUAUGACAUCUGCUGAAAACAAACCCACGGAGGAUGUAAUGGAGUCGCCGCACAUUUCGGAGGGAUGGAAAACGCCUGAGGAGCGCUGUGACCCCCGUAUAUUUCCCACAGUUUUCCUGGACGACACGCAAUGUGAAUAAAGGCAGACUGAUGAAUGGGAGGAGGACUGCAGCUCCUUCUGAGGAGGACAAACCCUCAUCAGGAGGCAGCAGCAGAGGCAGAAGGUGCAGAGUGGCUUUUCACAGGAAGCUUUAAACAGCUGCUUUGUCUCCAUGUUGGACUGCAUGAAACUCUUAAGUAAGAAACAGGAAAACAAAAACUGACUUGGCAAAACUCCAGUACAAAGAAAAACAGCCUCUUGUUCGUAUACUGUUUUAUCGAUGUAUCAACAUGCAGACAGUGGUGAAAAGUAACUAAGUAGAAUUACUUAAGG
ensembl:lncRNA